AAUUUGAAAAGCCUUCCCAAAUGAAGGAGAAUAAUAUGCAUAGUGAGAAUAUUACAGAAUGUAAUAUGCAUGAAAAAUAUAUGCAUGAUACGGUGAUGAAUCAAUUAGAGGAAGGAUGGAUUAAUGUGUCUUCAAGGAAGAAAGGAAAAAAGAAAGUAGGCCCAAGCAACGAUGAGGUAGGUCCAUCAGGAACUAAACAAGUGAAAUUCAAUGUCAAAGUUGGGUUUGUGUUUAAAAAUAAAAAAAAAAAGCCUAGUGUUGUUUCUGGCACGGUGAAAGCAACUAAUAAGUCAAACAAGAAUCAUAGCAUGAAGUGGGUCUAUGCUCCUCUCAAAAAAUAAUAUGUCGGUGAUUAUGAAAAGAUCCUAGCUAGAACAUCUAAUCGUAAAAGGCUUCGACCCAAUUCUCUUCAAAAUUCUCUAGUUAGUGAUGUUCAAGCUAGCGAUGUUGGCAUUGCAGAAGAAGCUCUUUCACACAAAGAGGUAGAUUCUAAUGGAAACUUACUUGGUUAGACUCUCUCCAAGCCGUGGGCCAUUGCAGGGUCAUAGAGGUCAUGAAUUAGUGUGUGACAAUUGAGAUUAAUCUAUCAAACACCCUAAUGUGGCGCACCAUCAGGAAUUGCAGCAUCACCUUACUGGAUUAGCUGCAAACAUUGUUCUACCGUGUAUAAUGGUGGGAGGUUUUAAUGAAAUACUCUAUCCUAGGGAAGUCAGAGGAAAGACUUUUAAUGAGAUGCGAGCUGAUGUUUUUGCUAACACUUUAGAUAGAUGUUGCAAGACUUCGGAUUUUUUUCAAAAUUAAAAUAUGAGUUAUUUGAGACUUUGAACUUUGUUUAUGAAUGACAAUAAAAAUAUUUAAAAUGAAAGUCCGAGCACUUAUCUUAAAGGUUUUGGCGUAAGAUAGAGCCAACGAACGAAAAAUCACAAAAAGGGCCCAUGUUGGGCCCACAACCCAAACCCAAGGCACAAAAUCCCUCACCCUUAGCAUAUUUUAGCCUCCUUUGUAUUAGUGAGAGUGAGGAAACAACUGAAAGAGAGAAGAGAGGAAGAGAGCCAAUGUCCUAAGUGUCACUAUUCAUCAUCACAUUCAUUUGCUCAUAACUUUCAAAUUGUAGCUCCGAUUGACGACCCGUUUAUGGUUACGUAUUUGUCUCGACUUUUUCUAUCUAAACAUUGUGGAGAAGCUUAACCACCAAUUCUAGAGAGGUUUUGACCUAAGAUUAUGUGGUAUGAGCUGAAAGCGUGAUAUUCUGGUAGUAAGGAUGUCACAGAUGUGGCUUGAUUGAUAUAGGUGCUUCCGACAAAGAGUUUACUCGGUAUAGAAGAAUUAUUGGUAACAGAGACAUUGCUAAAAAGCAUGAUAGAGCUCUUUUUAACCAGGAUCGGUGUCUUCUUUUUCCAAAAGCCUACAUGAAGGUGUUGAGUAGAUUCCAUUCCAAUCAUUGUCCUCUUUUGAUUCGUUAUAGGAGACCAACUAGAAGACGGAAUGAUAACAAGCCUUUUAGAUUCCAAGCAGCUUGGACGACUCAUCAUACCUUCUCUAGGGUAGUUAAGGAGGCCUGGAGGAAGGGAGCACCGAUAGUGCUAGAUAGCCUCAAGAAGGUUCAAAAGGAUGCUCUGAAUUUUAAUAAAGAGGUGUUUGGUAAUAUUUUUGUUAAGAAGAUACGGUUAGAAGAGCAGAUUUGUAGCCUUUAGUGGAGCAUAGAUACUUCUGGAAAUGCUAGUUUAUGGUUGAAGGAGAAAGCUCUGAAUGAGGAGUACAAUACUAUUUUUCUACAGGAAGACUUUUUUGGUACCAGAAAUCUAGAGAAUAGUGAGUCAGAUGUGAUGACCAGAAUAUUAAAUUUUUCCAUCUUCAGACGAUCAUGCGAUGUAAGAGGAAUAAGAUACAUGGUAUUUUCAUUGAGGAUGGUACUUGGUCUACAGGAUGAUGUCAUCAAUGCAAAAGCUAAUUUUUUCAGAUACUUUUUUGUUUCUAAGAGAAUGUGGAUAUUGAUACAUUAGGAGAUAUCCCUCUUCCUCAUUUGAGUCAGGAUGCUUGUAGGUCUCUUACUGUGCUGGUUAUCUUAGAAGAAGUAAGGAUUGCUGUCAUGGGCAUGAACUCUUUCAAGGCCCUUGGUCCAAAUGGUUUUCAGGCUUUCUUCUAUAAGAAAUUCUGAGAUAUUGUUGGUGAGGAUAUUCGACAGAUUGUGAGUGUGGUCUUUACUGGGGGUCAUAUUCAUCCUUCUGUUCAAGAGACUCUCAUUAUGCUUAUUCCUAAGGUGGAGUCUCCCACUUCGUUUAAGGGGUUUCGUCCUAUUAAUCUUUGUAAUGUGGUUUAUAAGAUUAUUACAAAAGUUCUUGUUAACCGCCUGCGCCCUUUCUCACUGAGAUAGUAGGACCUCUUCAAGGAGGCUUUAUUCUUGGCCGAGGGGCCACUAAUAAUAUUAUUGUUUCAUAGGAGAUUUUGCAUCAUAUGAAAAUGACUAAGUAAAAAAAAGGCACUCUAGUCUUUAAAAUUGACUUGAAAAAGGCUUAUGAAAGGGUUGAUUGGAGGUUCCUUGAGCAUUUCUUGUGCAGUUUUGGUUUAAGCUAUACGGCCCAUCUGAUUAUGAAGUGUGUUUGCUCUUCUUCCUUCUCCACUUGUGGAAUGGAAAUAAACUGGACAGCUUCAAUCCACAUAAGGGUCUUAGGCAAGGUAUGUCUCGGUAUCUGUUUGUUUUAUGUAUGGAAAUACUUGCUUGUUUUAUUGCCUAUCAAGUUUUUCAUGGUGUUUAGGAGCCAGUGACGGUAUCUAGGAGUGGACUUAGGGUCUCUCAUUUGAUGUUUGCUGAUGACCUGCUUCUUUUCUACAAAGCUAGAAAAAGUUAAGUGGAACUGAUCAUGAAUGUCCUUAAUACAUUUUGCAAAACUUCAGACGUGAAGGUGAAUUUUGAAAAAUCUAAAGUCAUGUGUUCAAAGUAUGUCUUUAAUGCAAGAAAAGAUCUUUUUACUGGCAUCUCAUCAAUUCAUUUUACUCAAUUUGGAUAAAUACCUUGGAGUUAAUUUGGGCCACUCUAGGGUCACUUGUAAGUGUGUUUUGGAUACCAUUGAUAAAAUUCAAAAAAGAUUUGUUAGUUGGAAGGAUUGGAUUUUAAACAAAUCUGGAAGGUUAUGUCUUAUUAAAUCAAUUAUAUCUUCUAUUCUUAUAUAUUAGAUGCAUGUCCACCUCCUUCCUUCUUAUACAUGUGAUAAGAUAAAUUCUAUUAUGCGAAAAUUCUUAUGAAAAGACCAAUCUAUAUGAAUGAUGGCAAGUAUCUUCCUCUAGUUAAAUGAGACACUGUUAUUAUUCCAAAAAGAACAGGUGGUCUUGGGAAUAGGGAUGCUAAACUGGUUAAUGUUGCAAUGAUUAAAAACUUGUUUGGCAAAUUUUAACUUGCAAGGAAAAGCUCUAGGUAUAGGUUAUUUCUGAUAAAUAUUUCAAAUCAUCCCAAUCCUUAGAGUUCAACAUUCCUGGAUAUUCUUCAAGCUACUGGAGGAAUAUUGCUUCAACUUUUAUUUGAUUAAAAGACGGCUUUUCUUAGAGUAUUGGCAACUUGGAGCAAUCUUUCUGGUAUGAUUCGUGGUUCCCUUGUGGCAGACUAUGUGAGCUUCUUUUAUAUAUCCUAUCUCUGAUGUUGAUUUGGUGAUUAGGGAUGUUUGGGAGAAUGGAGAAAUAUAUGUUCAGAGAAAACUAUGCUCUUGAUAUGGCUGAGUAUGCUUGAUGCUCUGCCUACUACUCUCUUUUGUUGCAGUCAUAGAUUGUCUGCGACAAACAUUUGCAGUGGGUGUGGUAAUGAGCCUGAAACGGUAACCUAUUGCCUUAUUCAGUGCAGAAAGAGGAGGUUUGGACAUUUUUGCUCCCCUCUUUGCAGUUUGAUGCCGGCGAUUUUAAGAACUGGAUCAAACAGGCGCUGAAAAAUUCAGAAGUUAUGAUUAGUGUUGGUCUUUGGUGGAUUUGGAGACACUGGAAUCAGGAAAUUUUUAAUCCUCAAGAGGUUUGGCCAACUGCGAGAAUCGUCUUCAAUGCUCGCCUCAUGAUGUAAGAGUUGGAAGCUAUGACAGACAAGUUCCAACAUUUUUUUCUUCCAACUGUUAGAACUUCCUGGGUUGCUCCACUCUUUGGUCAAACAAAGCUCAACUAUGAUGCAAGCAUUUUUUACGCUGUUAACUCUGCUGGGUUUGGGUUUGGGUAUGUCUUGAGGGAUCAUUUUGAGAAUUGGAUUAAAGGUUGUGCUGGGUCUAUUCCUAUGUGGUCUGUGUGUCGGUCUGAGAUCUUUGUUAUUUGGAGAGGCUUGGUGCUUACUUGGGAAUGUGACUUGAAAUCAAUAGUUUGUGAAAAUGAUUCUAGAUAUGUUUUUCUGGCGAUUCAACAACCUCUAAGUGCAGCUCAUGGAGAUAGCACAGAUUUAUUGAUGAAGAUUCAUUAUUUGUUGAACAGAAAGUGGGUGGUUCAUUUUAAUUUAGUUGUAAGGGAAGCUAAUUUCAUUGCAGAUUGUUUGUCUAUACUAAGAGCUCCUGAUAAUAAUAAAUACUUAGAAUGGCUACAACCUUAGAGUUA